rnacentral:rRNA from 1 species
AUGGGGGCAACCCUGACCGAGCAACGCCGCGUGAGUGAAGACGGCCUUCGGGUUGUAAAGCUCUGUUGUAAGGGAAGAACGGUAGAUAGAGAAUAUCUAAGUGACGGUACCUUACCAGAAAGCCACGGCUAACUACGUGCCAGCAGCCGCGGUAAUACGUAGGUGGCGAGCGUUAUCCGGAAUUAUUGGGCGUAAAGGGUGCGUAGGCGGCCUGUUAAGUAAGUGGUUAAAUUGUUGGGCUCAACCCAAUCCAGCCACUUAAACUGGCAGGCUAGAGUAUUGGAGAGGCAAGUGGAAUUCCAUGUGUAGCGGUAAAAUGCGUAGAUAUAUGGAGGAACACCAGUGGCGAAGGCGGCUUGCUAGCCAAAGACUGACGCUCAUGCACGAAAGCGUGGGGAGCAAAUAGGAUUAGAUACCCUAGUAGUCCACGCCGUAAACGAUGAAUACUAAGUAUUGGGGAAACUCAGUGCUGCAGCUAACGCAAUAAGUAUUCCGCCUGUGGAGUAUGCACGCAAGUGUGAAACAUAAAGGAAUUGACUGGGGCCCGCACAAGCGGUGGAGUAUGUGGUUUAAUUCGACGCAACGCGAAGAACCUUACCAGGCCUUGACAUCCCUUGCAAA